CUGAGCUGAGCUGAGAGCAGAGCAGCUGGGAGAAAAUUUUUAAAAAACAGCCCUCUCUCUCCACACUCACUCUCUCUCUCUUUCGCGCUCCCAAUCGAAUUCAAGAUCUGGAAUUCGCUCUGCGCUCCGUCUCCCUCACGCCGACGAGCGAGGUCCGUCUCCUCGCCCCGACGCCGACGCCGCCUCACUCCGACGAUUUCUCUGUCUUGCAGUUCGAGCCACGAAGCUUGGAGCAGCGGGAGCGGACAAGGCCCAUAUCCACAAGUGGCGCUCCGGAGUUUGGAAACCAAGCUUCCGAGAUAAUGCUUCACGAGUGAGUCGCGCUCCAAUCCCCCUCCCUCCCUCCUUCCUCCUCUCUCUCUGCCCUUCUUUCCUUUUUUUUAUGUGCUGUAUGGCGAGUCGCGGAGCGAGAGCUCUCCUCUCUCUUCCCAAGCGCAAACUCAACGUGUCGUCUCCUCUCCUUCGACCGCCGCUGCCGGCGCACGGUCUCUCCUCUUCACCGGAUGAUGCACCGUCGAAUCUUGGAGUAAGCAAAGCGAGCUCUUCGUCCUCCUUCUCAUCCUUCUGUCGUACAAACCGCUUCAGUGUUGUACAGAACUAAAGAGAUACGUUGUUUGUGGACGUUUGAGAUAAAAGGGUGGCUUCGUGCUUUUGGGUUCUAGAAUAUCAACAAGAUAUGCUUAUGUGAGCCAGUAAUGAAGUCCUUGGCCUCGUUUUCUCUGUCUUGGUUCAUCUUUCAAUUGGAAUGUUGGCUUCAUAGGCUUGGGAAAUAUGGGAUCCAGAAUGGCGAAGAAUCUUGUUAAAGCUGGAUACAACGUCGCCGUGCAUGAUGUGUAAUGUUUGGGAUUCUGUGAAUCUAAUAAUCUGUAAAUGCAUUUCCUCGAAAUGAUAAUACUCCAAAAUGAUCUCAUUAUGUUGCUAUUUUGAGCUUCCAAUGCUUUGACAUUAACUGAUUAGCUAGACCAACAAGGAGAUGAAUGUGUUAUGAGCAGAUUAGGAUCAGAAUCUUGGUUUAUUCACAUCCCUUAGGAGACGUUCAGAGAGUUCUCACUAGACGGAAGCUUAUCUUUAUAAGUAGUGUCCAGACUAUCCUUUGACUUUCCCAGUAGCAUCACCUUUUUCAAUUUUGUAUUCAUGUAUAAUGGAACAUUCUUGCAAUCCAAUUAUUGUGGAGCAUUUAGUGCCCAUUUGUGUAAGUGAAAAAAAAUUAUUCCUUUCAGAAAUGGUGAUGCCAUGAAGAUCUUUACUGGCAUUGGAGUCCCCACCAAGAAAACACCCUUUGAAGUUGCAGAAGAAAGUGAUGUAAUAAUGACAAUGUUGCCGUCAUCUUCCCAUUUCUGAUAUGAACCAGGAGUUGUGAAUUGAACUGACCAGAAAGAGGGUAAAUGUUUCAACCUUGGGAAAUAAUAUGUCUUAAUGCUCAGAGGUCCAUUCUUUCCGGCUAUAAGUGAUCUUAUAUUCGGUGGGAGAUCAUUGGCAUUAACAUAUAGGCUUGGGUAUUGAUGAAGAGGUCCUGUUUUCCUAUUUGAGGAGCACUUCAAUUACUUUGGACUCAUGUUAGGCAUUAACUUUUUUAUUUCAUGCAUCAAUCGUAAGUGUAUGCUAGGAGCAUGCCGUACCACGGAGAAAUGUAUUUAAAUCAAUUUGCUCGGCGUGUACGUUGUUUAUCACUGUGAUUGUGGAGCCUUUCUCAUAAAAUUUGCCAGGUGAAAGACAUAUAAGGAUAAAAUUGAAUAAUCUAUCUAUACGAUUAAUGUAGGUAUUUGAUGUAUACACUGGACCGAAUGGAUUGCUUCAUGGUGGAAAUCUCCUAAGACUGUGGUUAUUGAUAGAUUCUUCUACGAUUGAUCCCCAAACAUCGAGAAAGAUUUCAGCACUUGUGUCUAACUGUACUUUAAAAGGGAAGAGAGGUAACGGGAAGUAAACUCAGAAGAGUUAUCCUUUAAAUAAAAUUAUUGCUUGUAAGUGUCAUGCUUAAUAGCCCAUUGUUCCAUCAAGAUUAUUUCCCAAAUAGUGUGCAGUCCUUAUUUCCUGAAAACUGCUUGACCGUCGUCGUCAUCGUAACGUCCUAAAAAUAUGAUUUACCAGGAUAUAUGAUUAUUGCUAUGGAGGCAUACUUAUGCCACAUCUCCAUGUCUAUUUGCAAGAACAUGCACUCUUUCAGUGAUAUUUAAUGGAAUGUAUGUGGUAGUUAUCGGUGCUUUUACUAGGACUUAAUACUUUGGAUGGAACGCCACCAUUCUCACCAUCCCCAUAGUGUAUGAGACAAAUGGAUGAGAAAUUUAAGGUUUUCUUUUUUGUCAAAAUAAGACUUGAGCAUGUAAUGUUCCAUCAGGAUUAUCUUUGGAGGAUUAAAAUGCAUAUAUCAACCCCUCCACAGAUUCCUGCAGUGCAGGAAGCCUUGUGCACUUAGACGCCUUUUUUAAUUGCUGUAAUAAGUAGAUAUGGCAUCUCAGACUUGGAAUACUCAGAUUGUUUGAUGCAGGGCAAAGGCAACUACAUACCUUGUAUUAAGAAACUGAAGAUGUAUAUAAGUCAUACACAUUCUAUUACUGCCUUUUGAACAUCAUCUUUUGGUCCCAGAAGAAUUGGUAGUUGCCCCCUUUGGAUUUGUUUCUCAUCUUUGUUUCUUGUGUUAUAUGUAUAUGCUGUACAAGCUUAUAUGUUGUAAAUAAAUAGAUGGAGGUGGAGUUCCUAUGAUGCUGGAUGCACCUGUUUCUGGAGGUGUUCUUGCUGCUGAAGCUGGCUCACUCACGUUCAUGGUAUACUCAGUAUCUGCAAUCGAUAGAUUCUGAUAUGAUUAUAAUAGCUCAAGAGUAUGAACUUGCUUUUGAAAGCACUCAGUUAAGAACUCUCAGUUGGUGUUUCUUUUGCUUUGUGCAUGUAACUCUAUUUCGAUGAACAUGAAUUGAUGGAAAUAUUUAACCAUAGCUGCUCAUGCUUUGGUUUCCAGAAAAUAGAACCUUCAUAACCACAAUAAUUGUGGGAUCACCUACUUUAUUCUCACUCAUGUCAAGAUUAUCUCUUGUGGCGUCUUAGAGACAAAAUUUCACUCGAAAAAGCUGAGAAUCUCCACAAUGGAAUCACAUAAUCAUAUCUCCUGGUAAUCAUAUUUUUUCUGUGAAAUAAAUGGAUUAGUUAAUACAGAAGCCCAUAAGCAAUCGUGCCUCCCUUGUAAAGUUUAAAAAAGAAGUCCUGGCCAUGGUUUCUUUAUAGUUUGAAUAAUUGGUAAAUACAUUCCUAUUGAUAGAGUUACUAUUAGCUAGCUGAGAUUUUGGUUAAUAUUCCAAAAUCAAAGUUUGGUUUCUGUGGCCGUCUUAGAUAUUGCAUUUUAGUGUACUGAAUGAAACUAAAUGCAGCAAUACAGCUUAUAGAAACAGCAGGGAUUGGGAAGAUAGUUAAUGAAUUUUCCGUAGUUUUGUGGAAAAGCGAUUGCCUCAACACCCUAACUGAUGCACUUCUCUUGAAUGUUCUAUUCGUUAAGUAACAUGGCAUUUGGCAGGUUGGUGGUUCAGAAGAAGCUUAUCUGGCAGCAAAGCCGUUGCUCCUCUCCAUGGGUAAAAGCACAAUUUAUUGUGGUGGAGCAGGAAAUGGUUCGGCAGCAAAAAUCUGCAACAACUUAGCACUGGCUGUGAGCAUGCU